rnacentral:rRNA from 1 species
AGGAACCUUACCUAGGGCUUGACAUGUGGUGAGUAGCGAACCGAAAGGGAGCGACCCGUCAAAUCGGGCCAUCACACAGGUGCUGCAUGGCUGUCGUCAGCUCGUGCCGUGAGGUGUUGGGUUCAGUCCCGCAACGAGCGCAACCCUCGCCCUUUGUUGCCAUCGGGUAAAGCCGGGCACUCUAAGGGGACUGCCAGCGACAAGUUGGAGGAAGGAGAGGAUGACGUCAAGUCAUCAUGGCCUUUAUGCCUAGGGCCACACACGUGCAACAAUGGCCGGUACAGACGGAGGCAAUGCCGAGAGGCGGAGCAAACCCGAGAAAACCGGUCCCAGUUCGGAUUGAGGUCUGCAACUCGACC